GGCGAACGGGUGAGUAAUAUAUCGGAACGUGCCCAGUCGUGGGGGAUAACGUAGCGAAAGCUACGCUAAUACCGCAUACGAUCUACGGAUGAAAGCGGGGGAUCGCAAGACCUCGCGCGAUUGGAGCGGCCGAUAUCAGAUUAGCUAGUUGGUGGGGUAAAGGCCCACCAAGGCGACGAUCUGUAGCUGGUCUGAGAGGACGACCAGCCACACUGGAACUGAGACACGGUCCAGACUCCUACGGGAGGCAGCAGUGGGGAAUUUUGGACAAUGGGCGCAAGCCUGAUCCAGCAAUGCCGCGUGCAGGAUGAAGGCCUUCGGGUUGUAAACUGCUUUUGUACGGAACGAAACGGUCCUUUCUAAUACAAGGGGCUAAUGACGGUACCGUAAGAAUAAGCACCGGCUAACUACGUGCCAGCCGCCGCGG
rnacentral:rRNA from 1 species